rnacentral:rRNA from 1 species
GACGAGCCACACAAACGUUAUUCGGAAUUACUGGGCUUAAAGGGUGCGUAGGCGGCGCGGAAAGUUGGGUGUGAAAGCCCUCGGCUCAACCGAGGAAUUGCGCCCAAAACUUCCGUGCUUGAGGAAGAUAGAGGUGAGCGGAACUCAGGGUGGAGCGGUGAAAUGCGUUGAUAUCCUGAGGAACACCGGUGGCGAAAGCGGCUCACUGGAUCUUUCUGACGCUGAGGCACGAAAGCUAGGGUAGCGAACGGG